rnacentral:rRNA from 1 species
AGUGAACGCUGGCGGCGUGCUUAACACAUGCAAGUCGAACGAGAACGGGUUAUAGCUUGCUUUAAUUGUCAGCUAAGUGGCGCACGGGUGAGUAAUGUAUAGGUAAUAUGCCUCUUACUAAGGGAUAACAAAUGGAAACGUUUGCUAAUACCUUAUACUCCUUAUUAACAGAAGUUAAUAAGGGAAAGAUUUAUUGGUAAGAGAUUAGCCUGUAUUGUAUCAGUUAGUUGGUGGGGUAAUGGCUUACCAAGACUAUGACACAUAACUGGUUUGAGAGGAUGAUCAGUCACACUGGAACUGAGACACGGUCCAGACUCCUACGGGAGGCAGCAGUGGGGAAUAUUGCACAAUGGACGAAAGUCUGAUGCAGCAACGCCGCGUGGAGGAUGACACAUUUCGGUGCGUAAACUCCUUUUAUAUGAGAAGAUAAUGACGGUAUUAUAUGAAUAAGCACCGGCUAACUCCGUGCCAGCCGCCGCUGUAA